UUUAAGUGCAGCCAUGAGUUUUUUUUCCCAACUUUGAUCAUCCGUCUUAUUUUAAAUUUUUUUUAUAAUUAGUAUUUUUGUUGUUAUAAGAUGAUAAAACAUGAAUAAUACUUUAUUCGUGAUUUAUGUUUUUAAAUUUUUGUAAAAAAUUUUUAAAUAAGAUGGACGAUCAAAGUCGAGCACAAAAAAGUAUAGUUGCACUUGAA
rfam:Oryza glaberrima chromosome 4 Oglab04_0128_8, whole genome shotgun sequence.